GAUGAACGCUGGCGGCGUGCCUAAUACAUGCAAGUCGAGCGAACAGACGAGGAGCUUGCUCCUCUGACGUUAGCGGCGGACGGGUGAGUAACACGUGGAUAACCUACCUAUAAGACUGGGAUAACUUCGGGAAACCGGAGCUAAUACCGGAUAAUAUAUUGAACCGCAUGGUUCAAUAGUGAAAGACGGUUUUGCUGUCACUUAUAGAUGGAUCCGCGCCGCAUUAGCUAGUUGGUAAGGUAACGGCUUACCAAGGCGACGAUGCGUAGCCGGCCUGAGAGGGUGAUCGGCCACACUGGAACUGAGACACGGUCCAGACUCCUACGGGAGGCAGCAGUAGGGAAUCUUCCGCAAUGGGCGAAAGCCUGACGGAGCGACGCCGCGUGAGUGAUGAAGGUCUUCGGAUCGUAAAACUCUGUUAUUAGGGAAGAACAAAUGUGUAAGUAACUAUGCACGUCUUGACGGUACCUAAUCAGAAAGCCACGGCUAACUACGUG
rnacentral:rRNA from 1 species